CAGCCGCCGCGGUAAUACGAAGGGGGCUAGCGUUGCUCGGAAAUACUGGGCGUAAAGGGAGCGUAGGCGGGUCGUUUAGUCAGAGGUGAAAUCCCGGGGCUCAACCUCGGAACUGCCUUUGAUACUGGCGACCUUGAGUAUGGGAGAGGUAAGUGGAACUCCGAGUGUAGAGGUGAAAUUCGUAGAUAUUCGGAAGAACACCAGUGGCGAAGGCGACUUACUGGCCCAUUACUGACGCUGAGGCUCGAAAGCGUGGGGAGCAAACAGGAUUAGAUACCCCUGUAGUCCCUGUCUCUUAUAC
rnacentral:rRNA from 1 species